AAAUGGGAGUCUGUCAUAAGACUGCUCUCAGGUGGCAGCUGAAGCUGAGAUUUAACUCUUGAAAGUUCAACUGGGGAAGGAUCUGUGUUCAGCUCACUCAUGUGUUUGUUGACAGGAUUCAGCUCCUUGCAGGCUCUUGGCAAGGGGCCUCAGUCCUUCUUUGGUUGUUGGUAAGAGCCUACCCUCAGUCUGUUGCUGUGUGGGCCUCUCCAUAUGCAGCUUGCUUCAUCAUAAUGAGCAAGCAGAGACAGUGUAAGAAAGUGCUAGGAGUCUUGUGUUACCUAAUCUCAGAGUGAGCAGCUUUCCUCACGCCCAAGGCCAAUUGCUCCGCCUGUGCUUUGGCUCCCAGCCUCUCUUAUCUUCUAGACAAUGGUUGCUAACCAAGACUGCACAUUUGAAUCACCUGUUCAAACCACCAGCUUCCCCUCCUGAUUUGCCAUAGCCUCUUGUCUCCAAUGAGUCUUCCUCUGGCCAAUUUGUCUGAACCACUUCCCAGCCCAUUCGCCACAGAGCACCAGAAGAGCCUGUAUAGAAGCACGACCGCACCAUGCCGCUUCUUCCACCCUUGCAGUCUUGGAAUGCUUCUGCUCAAAGACACCGUAAAAGAGUGAGGAUAUACGUCAUAGACAUGGAGAAGAUAUUUGCAACAUAUCUAAUCAACAAAUCAUUUUAUCCAGAAUAAAGGAUUUUAAAAACUCAAAAAGAAGAAAGGUCAACCCCAAAACAUAAACCAGCCAUUCACAAAAACGACCCAUUAAAUUAUGAAAAGAU